rnacentral:rRNA from 1 species
GAUGAACGCUGGCGGCGUGCUUAACACAUGCAAGUCGAACGGAAAGGCCCAAGCUUGCUUGGGUACUCGGGUGGCGAACGGGUGAGUAACACGUGGGUGAUCUGCCCUGCACUUCGGGAUAAGCCUGGGAAACUGGGUCUAAUACCGGAUAGGACCACUUCUUGGAUGUUGUGGUGGAAAGUUUUUUCGGUGUGGGAUGAGCUCGCGGCCUAUCAGCUUGUUGGUGGGGUAAUGGCCUACCAAGGCGUCGACGGGUAGCCGGCCUGAGAGGGUGUACGGCCACAUUGGGACUGAGAUACGGCCCAGACUCCUACGGGAGGCAGCAGUGGGGAAUAUUGCACAAUGGGCGCAAGCCUGAUGCAGCGACGCCGCGUGGGGGAUGACGGCCUUCGGGUUGUAAACUCCUUUCGCUAGGGACGAAGCGUUUUGUGACGGUACCUGGAGAAGAAGCACCGGCUAACUACGUG